UAUCACAGAAAUGCCACUGUUGUAGAACCU
rnacentral:piRNA from 1 species